AGGCUGUCAUGGCUUUUGGUGGAACCGGAUAUCAUGAAAAUUCCGGCCUGGGUUCGAACCCUGCGGUCGGACGUGGAUUCAUUGGCAGUCUCGCACUGUCACCACGGUCAGCCUCACUGCUAACGAGUUUAAGACGUGUCCCGGUAUUAUCGAUCUUUGCGGGCACCGGGGGUGGACUAAGAGAAAUCUAGUUCUGUCCCGCGGUGACAAAGGUAAGCACAGCUUCGGUAAUGUGUUUCGAGCGCUCUUACCGCUGAAGGGGAGUUUCAUCCAGCACAGCAAGAGCGACCCGUGAGGAGGCGACCGGGAGGGCACUUGUCCUCGGCGAGAUUCAUCUCAGAGUGGUGGGUUGGUAUUCCUUCGGGACAUUAGUCUCUAUGGAUAUCCAGGAACUAUCGUU
rnacentral:SRP_RNA from 1 species